rnacentral:rRNA from 1 species
CCUACGGGUGGCAGCAGUGGGGAAUAUUGCACAAUGGGGGAAACCCUGAUGCAGCGACGCCACGUGAGUGAAGAAGUAACUCGGUAUGUAAAGCUCUAUCAGCAGGGAAGAAAAUGACGGUACCUGACCAAGAAGCCCCGGCUAACUACGUGCCAGCAGCCGCGGUAAUACGUAGGGGGCAAGCGUUAUCCGGAUUUACUGGGUGUAAAGGGAGCGUAGACGGCAGUGCAAGUCUGGAGUGAAAGGCGGGGGCUUAACCCCCGGACUGCUUUGGAAACUGUACGGCUGGAGUGCAGGAGAGGUAAGCGGAAUUCCUGGUGUAGCGGUGAAAUGCGUAGAUAUUAGGAGGAACACCGGUGGCGAAGGCGGCUUACUGGACUGUAACUGACGUUGAGGCUCGAAAGCGUGGGGAGCAAACAGGAUUAGAUACCCUAGUAGUC